rnacentral:rRNA from 1 species
GACGAACGCUGGCGGCGUGCUUAACACAUGAAAGUCGAACGGAAAGGCCCUGCUUUUGUGGGGUGCUCGAGUGGCGAACGGGUGAGUAACACGUGAGUAACCUGCCCUUGACUUUUGGAUAACUUCAGGAAACUGGGGCUAAUACCGGAUAGGAGCUCCUGCUGCAUGGUGGGGGUGGGAAAGUUUCGGCGGUUGGGGAUGGACUCGCGGCUUAUCAUCUUGUUGGUGGGGUAGUGGAUUACCAAGGCUUUGACGGGUAGCCGGCCUGAGAGGGUGAGCGGCCACAUUGGGACUGAGAUACGGCCCAGACUACUACGGGAGGCAGCAGUGGGGAAUAUUGCACAAUGGGCGGAAGCCUGAUGCAGCAACGCCGCGUGCGGGAUGACGGCCUUCGGGUUGUAAACCGCUUUCGCCUGUGACGAAGCGUGAGUGACGGUAAUGGGUAAAGAAGCACCGGCUAACUACGUG